rnacentral:ncRNA from 1 species
UUUGUAGAGGACGCGAUGAUUAUCAGUAGCGUAUCUGAUGAGGCUGGAUCAGAUGAUGAUAUGUGAAAGGAUGAAUCGCCGAAGUCAUGUAGUACCAGCGGCUAUGUGGUCUGGGACUUAGAUUAAGAGUCUAAGGACUGUCAUCUUGAAUUCAGGAUGGAGUGCUACGGUA